CCUGCCCAUGCUGCGAAGCUGUGAUUUUAUCAAUGCUUCUAUCCUGGUUUUGGGAAGGGGGGAUCUUGGGGUGUCAUGAUCAGAAAAUGAAUGUUUUAAAUUUUUAGGGCCACUUCACUGUAACGGUAAAUCCACUCUGAACAGCAGCCCAAGUAAGGUGUGGCAGGGAGGCUGAAGGGGUUUGUUUGAUUGGUGAGAGCUCUCUGCUUCUCAACAGGCAAACUUAAAGCUUCUGUUUCUGUUCUGGUGUGGGCAGAAGAGGACGCUUCCUUGCUCACGUUGCGUCUCACUCAUAGAGGUUUAACAUGAAGACUGUCCUGCUUGUCACUGCUCUUCUGCUGAUGAAUUUGAUGACUUUAACCUGUGCUACAAUGCAAAAAUCCACUACGACAAGUAAACAGAACCACGGCACACCCUGCUGCAUCCCACCUUCUCUUUUGCUGGUGUCUGCCUUGGCAGCAAUUUACCUCCUCCAAGCAAAAUGAGCCCUUCACUCCCCUGAGAGAUGUCAACACUGCCUUCAGCCUGCCACCAUCUCAGCGUCUCCUGCUGGGAACCCUGCUGCAGCCUGACAAUCCGCGUAACCCAGCCAGCACAAUGGCUAAAGCUGAAGUCUUCCCCCAACACACCCCCUGCACACUUCUCUUCGCAGCCAUCGGCUUCUUUCUUUCUUUUCUUUCUUUCUUUUCCCAUCAGAGCCAUUCAUUCCACCAAGUGCGAUGGAAUCCCAGCAGCAGAGUCCAGCUUUGCAUGGAGCUUCCCAUUAGAAUCAUAUUGGAUAGGCAGAUGCAUGUCUCACCGCAACACCCGAGGAGCCUUAUCAUUGAUUGACCAGCUCCUGUGCAGAAUGAGUCUCCCCAAAGAGACAGAGAUUACAACAAGAGUGUGUUUUGUUCCAUGCUUGUGUAUGUAUUGCACUAAUCUGAAGAUCCCCAGCAGCGGGUGGCAAUCCCCAUUCCAUGAAUGCUUUGGGACCUUUCUGAUCCCUGCAGAGUGGCAGCCAGCUCAACCUAAUAAAAUGAAAGACAAGCUUUCUUACUGCC